CUCAUUGUGUAACUAUUUUUGAGUUUGGUUAAAAAGACAAACUUUUUUUUUCUUUUUUUGAGUGGUUGCUUUGUGCCAAGUCUCAGCAAUAUUGACUAGCUUAGUAAUAUUUAGUUCUGAUACUCUGUGACAGGCAUAGAAAUAGGAGGUAGAGCUGUUCCUGUACUCUCCUUGGGGAUGUUAGCAGAAAACUAUUGCAAAAUAACAGUUGUCCUUGACCAUGAUGAAUAAAUAGGACUCUUUCAAAUAGAGAAAGAGGGAAAAGUCCAGAGAUAUGAAACAGUAUGACAUGUUUGUUAUGUUUAGAUAGAGUUUAGGACUUGAGAGAUAAUGCAAACUUAACUCAGAUUAGGAGUAGAGGAGAUGGCCAUUUUAGAGGUAGAACUGAUAUAAUUUGAUAACCUAGUUGAUUUGGAAGGCCAGGGAGUUCAAACAAUUAAAAAGGAUUUCAGGUUUCUGAAUUGUUACUGUUAACUGGGAAAAGGACUACUAGAGAAGAAAUACCCUGCCUGGGAAAAGGAAAUAAAACAAAACUAGUUAUUUAAAAAUAGUAGCUACAUAUACUCUGAAACAUGGCCAUUAUUCUUAGAAUGCUUGAAAAGUUAUAUGACUAGUUCCUUUUUAAAAUUUUUUUAAAAUAUAUUUUUAUUGAUUUCAGAGAAGAAGGAAGGAGAGAGAGAGAGAGAGAAACAUCAAUGAUGACAGAGAAUAAUUGAUCAGCUGCCUCCUGCAUGCCCCUCUCUGGGGACCGAUCCAACAGAACUUACUGAUGGAUUGGAUGUGCCUUGACCGGAAAUCAAACCAUGGCCUCCUGGUUCAUAGGUCGACGCUCAACCACUGAGCCACACUGGCUGGGCACUAGCUCCUUUUUUAAUAUAUGGAAUUCUAUCAGAUGCUGUAUUAUGUUCAUUUAGGAAUUGAUACAGGGACAGUUAUCUAAUCCAUUGAGUAAUUUAUGGUGAUGCUUUAAAAUUAAGCAUUUUGUAAAGUAGUUUGUUUUCUCUCCUUUUCUUCUUUGUGUGCUGCUUUCUAGGUUCCACUAGUUUGUGCCAGGAGUUUCAAAUAUUCUCAGAAGUUCCUUUUUCAUUGUUUUGAAUUGAACUUUAUUUGGUACCUUUCAACUGAGUUAAAGUCAUUUUGUUCAUUUUUCUUCACCAUUGAGUCUGGCUUUUGUUUUUUGUCUUUACUAAGAGGAGAACAGACAUGGCAAAUUACUGGAAAGACAGGGGACCUCAAACCAGGAGUGAAGGCACAUACUUGGAGUGGAACACUGACCACUUCGACUGGAAUGUGGUUGAAAAGGGAAAAGUCAUAACACAUAAGACCAGAGGAGUGACAGGAGCCAGAUCCGGCAUAGCUUUGUAAGUCCUGGAAGCUGGAAGUCCAAGAUCAAGGUUUCGGACGUCAUUUUCUUU